GCCGCGGUAAUACGGAGGAUCCGAGCGUUAUCCGGAUUUAUGGGUUUAAAGGGGAGCGUAGAUGGAUGUUUAAGCCAGUUGUGAAAGUUUGCGGCUCAACCGUAAAAUUGCAGUUGAUACUGGAUAUCUUGAGUGCAGUUGAGGCAGGCGGAAUUCGUGGUGUAGCGGUGAAAUGCUUAGAUAUCACGAAGAACUCCGAUUGCGAAGGCAGCCUGCUAAGCUGCAACUGACAUUGAGGCUCGAAAGUGUGGGUAUCAAACAGGAUUAGAUACCCUGGUAGUCCACACGGUAAACGAUGAAUACUCGCUGUUUGCGAUAUACUGCAAGCGGCCAAGCGAAAGCGUUAAGUAUUCCACCUGGGGAGUACGCCGGCAACGGUGAAACUCAAAGGAAUUGACGGGGGCCCGCACAAGCGGAGGAACAUGUGGUUUAAUUCGAUGAUACGCGAGGAACCUUACCCGGGCUUAAAUUGCAGAUGAAUUACGGUGAAAGCCGUAAGCCGCAAGGCAUCUGUGAAGGUGCUGCAUGGUUGUCGUCAGCUCGUGCCGUGAGGUGUCGGCUUAAGUGCCAUAACGAGCGCAACCCUUGUUGUCAGUUACUAACAGGUUCCGCUGAGGACUCUGACAAGACUGCCAUCGUAAGAUGUGAGGAAGGUGGGGAUGACGUCAAAUCAGCACGGCCCUUACGUCCGGGGCUACACACGUGCUACAAUGGGGGGUACAGAGGGCCGCUACCACGCGAGUGGAUGCCAAUCCCCAAAACCUCUCUCAGUUCGGACUGGAGUCUGCAACCCGACUCCACGAAGCUGGAUUCGCUAGUAAUCGCGCAUCAGCCACGGCGCGGUGAAUACGUUCCCGGGCCUUGUACACACCGCCCGUCAAGCCAUGGGAGCCGGGGGUACCUGAAGUGCGUAACCGCGAGGAGCGCCCUAGGGUAAAACUGGAGA
rnacentral:rRNA from 1 species